rnacentral:rRNA from 1 species
GAUGAACGCUGGCGGCGUGCCUAAUACAUGCAAGUCGAGCGAACAGACGAGGAGCUUGCUCCUCUGACGUUAGCGGCGGACGGGUGAGUAACACGUGGAUAACCUACCUAUAAGACUGGGAUAACUUCGGGAAACCGGAGCUAAUACCGGAUAACAUGUUGAACCGCAUGGUUCAACAGUGAAAGACGGUCUUGCUGUCACUUAUAGAUGGAUCCGCGCCGCAUUAGCUAGUUGGUAAGGUAACGGCUUACCAAGGCAACGAUGCGUAGCCGACCUGAGAGGGGGAUCGGCCACACUGGAACUGAGACACGGUCCAGACUCCGACGGGAGGCAGCAGUAGGGAAUCUUCCGCAAUGGGCGAAAGCCUGACGGAGCAACGCCGCGUGAGUGAAGAAGGUCUUCGGAUCGUAAAACUCUGUUAUUAGGGAAGAACAAAUGUGUAAGUAACUAUGCACGUCUUGACGGUACCGAAGCAGAAAGCCACGGCUAACUACGU